UAAUAGACAAGAUGGAUUGUUUUAAGAAGUGGCAGAGAGAUAUCUCUAAGUUUGUCUGGCAGGGCAAGAGGCCCAGGAUAAAAUUUAAAAUAUUGACUGAUGCUAAAGAAAGAGGGGGAUUUGCCCUGCCAGACUUUAAACUUUAUUAUGAAUCAGCAGCUUUCUGCUGGCUGAAGGAUUGGUUACUUCUGGAAAAUACUGAUGUUUUGGACUUAGAAGGUUUUAAUAAUGUGUUUGGGUGGCAUGCAUAUUUGUGGUAUGACAAGGUUAAAGCUCACAAAAUAUUUAAAAACCAUAUUGUCAGGAAAGCAUUAUUCAAUGUCUGGAUAAGAUAUAAAGACUUAUUGGAGAAUAAAACCCCAAGGUGGCUAUCACCAAUGGAGGCAAAGGCCCUGAAAAAGUCCAAUAUGGAGGCCAAGUGGCCAAAAUAUUGGGAGAUCUUGGAACAAGAAGGAGAUAAAUACAAAUUGCAGAGUUUUGAAAAACUAAAAGAUAGAGUGCGUGACUGGUUGCAUUAUUACCAAAUAAGAGAGGUCUAUAAUUUGGAUAGAAAAGUUGGCUUCCAGGUGGAAAAAUCAAAGUUGGAAACAGAACUGCUAGAUCCCAAAACUAAAACACUUUCAAGAAUGUAUAACUUGCUGCUAAAAUGGAAUACUCAGGAUGAAACGGUAAAAUCUGCUAUGAUUAAAUGGGCACAGGAUGUUGGACACAACAUUAUGUUUGCUGACUGGGAACGGUUAUGGACCACAGGUACGAAGUUUACAGCAUGUAAUGCUUUAAAAGAGAAUAUAAUGAAAAUGGUGUACAGGUGCUACAUGACCCCAGUCAAGCUUGCAAAAAUCUACCAUUUGCCCGAUAAUAAAUGUUGGAAAUGUAAUGAAACUGAAGGUACAUUCUUUCACCUUUGGUGGACGUGCCCAAAGAUUAAGGCCUUCUGGGAAAGGAUAUAUAAUGAGUUGAAAAAGGUAUUUAAGUAUACCUUCUUAAAGAAACCAGAGGCCUUUCUCCUGGGCAUUGUUGGCCAAUUGGUGCCAAAGAAAGAUAGAACUUUCUUUAUGUAUGCAACAGCAGCAGCAAGGAUACUCAUCGCAAAGUAUUGGAAGACACAAGACUUACCCACUCUGGAAGAAUGGCAGAUGAAGGUAAUCGAUUAUAUGGAAUUGGCGGAAAUGACUGGCAGAAUCCGUGACCAGGGAGAAGAGUCGGUGGAAGAAGAUUGGAAGAAAUUUAAAGACUAUCUACAGAAAUACUAUAAAAUUAAUGAAUGUUAAAUUGAGGUCUGAUUGAAAAUAACUGGUAUUGGCAAAAGCCUUGCGUUUAAGAGCAUGGAAUAUUUGAUGGAUAAGGUUGUAAAAAUAUCUAUAUAUAAAUAGAUUAAGUUUCUUGAGUUAAGAUAAAGGAAGGAGGGUAAGGAUUUGCUGAAAGGAGUUUUUAAAUGGAAAUACAAGCGGGGAGAUGCGGGGAAGUCAAAGAACUAGGGAAAGAUAAGAAGGUCAAAUGAAAGUAUAAAUUUUUAAACUUUUCUGUUUCUUUUUCUUUUUCUCUUUUUUCUUUCUUUGUUAUGGAUAUUGUUAUCUUUGUUUUCUUUUUGUCACUGCUAUUGUUGUUUUUUGUCUGUGGAAUUUUUGUAUUUUUGUAUCUUUUGGAAUUUUUGUAAAACCAAUAAAUAUUAUAUUAAAAAAAAAAAA
rnacentral:lncRNA from 1 species